GCAGUCGAGCGGCAGCGGAAAGUAGCUUGCUACUUUGCCGGCGAGCGGCGGACGGGUGAGUAAUGUCUGGGAAACUGCCUGAUGGAGGGGGAUAACUACUGGAAACGGUAGCUAAUACCGCAUAACGUCGCAAGACCAAAGAGGGGGACCUUCGGGCCUCUUGCCAUCAGAUGUGCCCAGAUGGGAUUAGCUAGUAGGUGGGGUAACGGCUCACCUAGGCGACGAUCCCUAGCUGGUCUGAGAGGAUGACCAGCCACACUGGAACUGAGACACGGUCCAGACUCCUACGGGAGGCAGCAGUGGGGAAUAUUGCACAAUGGGCGCAAGCCUGAUGCAGCCAUGCCGCGUGUAUGAAGAAGGCCUUCGGGUUGUAAAGUACUUUCAGCGGGGAGGAAGGCGUUGAGGUUAAUAACCUCAGCGAUUGACGUUACCCGCAGAAGAAGCACCGGCUAACUCCGUGCCAGCAGCCGCGGUAAUACGGAGGGUGCAAGCGUUAAUCGGAAUUACUGGGCGUAAAGCGCACGCAGGCGGUCUGUCAAGUCGGAUGUGAAAUCCCCGGGCUCAACCUGGGAACUGCAUUCGAAACUGGCAGGCUAGAGUCUUGUAGAGGGGGGUAGAAUUCCAGGUGUAGCGGUGAAAUGCGUAGAGAUCUGGAGGAAUACCGGUGGCGAANGCGGGCCCCUGGACAAAGACUGACGCUCAGGUGCGAAAGCGUGGGGAG
rnacentral:rRNA from 1 species